AGAAGCCUAACUAAGUUCUGCUCUGGGGGGACAGUGCCAUAAGGCUGGAGCUUUGGAACAGGGCAUGCUUAAACAACUGGGCUGUCUACUAGGGGUCAUCACUGAUUAUGGGUACCUUGGGCAUAUGAACCAUGAAGAUCCAUUUCCAUCAAAGGACAACUGACAGCUUGAGUUUAGGAAGUAUGCCCAAGAGAUCAAGGGUUGCAUACACACUUUCCUUGAUGGAAGGAUGUUCACCACAACACAGGACAAAAGAAGACUUUUACUGACAUGAAAAAUACCUGACAGAAAAAUUGGGGCUCCAUCAUUCCCUGCACCCCAGUCUCUUGCCA